rnacentral:snRNA from 1 species
GUGCUCACUUCAGCAGCACAUAUACUAACUUUGGAACAAUCCAGAGAAAAUUAGCACAGCGCCUGCAUAAGAAAUGAGUAUGAAAUUCCACAGAGCACUUUAAGCUUGGA